rnacentral:rRNA from 1 species
GACGAACGCUGGCGGCGUGCUUAACACAUGCAAGUCGUACGACAGCAUUUCCUUCGGGUUAUGUAUGGAGUGGCGAACGGGUGAGUAACACGUGAGUAACCUGCCCUCUUCUUUGGGAUAACGUGCGGAAACGUGCGCUAAUACUGAAUAUUCGCAUUCUUGCUGCAUGGUGGGGUGUGGAAAGGACCUCGGUUGGUGGGGUAGGUGGGCGUCGCGGCCGUACUCUAGUUGUUGGUUGGGGGGUAGUGGCCGUACCAACGGACGUGGGACGGGUAGGCCGGGCCGUCGAGAGGGUGGUUCGGGUCGU